rnacentral:rRNA from 1 species
UUCUCCUAAAGACUACGCCAUGCAUGCCUUCGAACACGAGGAAGCAAUUCUCUCUGAAUCUGCCAACGGCUCCGCAAACCAGUUGUAAACCAAAGCAAGCAUACUCGUGGUCUGCCCUUCACGGGGUGGGCUGCGGGUGAUACGGAUAACCCUGGUAAUUCUGAGGCUAAUACGAGACUGUACUCCCUGGCUAACCGGGCAACUGGUAGGCUGGGGGGCGUGUGAUCUAUUUGCAAGACGAUUCCAGGAAGGGGUGCACGCUCUGACCGCGAUAAAGACAGUUCUGGUGGACCCUCACGGGCGAGCCAGUUCUGAGCGGCUCUUGCGAUGUGCUUCUGACCUAUCAACUAGAUGGCAGCGUAACGGACAUGCCAUGGUUACAACGGGUACAGAGGAUUAGGGUUCGAUCCUGGAGAGUGGGCCUGAGAGAUUGCUCAUACUUCUAAGGAAGGCAGCAGGCGCGCAACGUUCCCCUUGGGCAAUGCCCGAGGGCGUUAGGGGACAUAUGAAUGGUUGCCUUUUAGGUGGCCAAUUCAAAUGGGUCUGUUCUAAACAGCCUCUCGAGUAACAAUUAGAGGACAAGUCUGGUGCCAGCACCCGCGGUAAUUCCAGCUCUAAUAGCAUACGUUAAAGUUGUUGCGGUUAAAACGCUCGUAGUCGGCUUCAGAUCAUCAAACGCCCGAGACGGGAACCUGGCUGCUGCCUUCAAAGGCGCUCCGGGCAACUGACGAAGGCUGACGGUGGUCAAGCGUGCCUCAGGCUGUAUCUUCGGAUUCACAGGGCCCGGCUUCACGGCUGGGUUCGGCUUGGGGUGCCACUUACCAUGACUAAACCGGCUCGAUCAAGAAAGGUCACGACGAUCUUGCACGGCACAGCAUGGCAUAAGCAUCACUGGCCCGGGAUUCCUUGCAGGUCCUGGGUUGGUAGAAGCAAAAGGGGUGUUCGAGGGUGACCGAAUUGCUGGGCGAGUGGUGAAAUACGUUGACCCUAGCAAGUCGACCAAAGGCGAAAGCAGUCAUCAAGGGCAUUCCCGUUGAUCAAGAGCGAAAGUUAAGGGUUCGAAGACGAUCAGAUACCGUCGUAGUCUUAACUAUAAAUGAUACUGACCAGAGAUAGGAUUCUGUCCAUCUCGACUUCUCCUGGAUCUUUGAGAAAUUAUAGUCUUUGAGUUCUGGGGGGAGUAUGGUCGCAAGGCUGAAACUUAAAGGAAUUGACGGAAGGGCACACAAAGAGUGGAACCUGCGGCUUAAUUUGACUCAACACGGGAAAACUCACCAGGUCCGGAUACACGUAUGAAAGACAAGCUGAAAGACUUUUCUCAAUGAUGUAAGUGGUGGUGCAUGGUCGUUCUUAGUUCGUGGAUUGAUUUGUCUGGUCUAUUCCGAUAACGAGCGAGACCCCGGCGUUCCUAAUAGGGGUGGCAGCCCGGCUCGUCCCUCACGGGACUUGCUAGCAGCCACUUAAGAUGUACUUCUUAGACGUAUCAGAGCCGAUAAGGUUCUUGAAAUGGGUUAAUAACAGGUCAGUCAUGCCCUUAGAUGUUCUGGGCCGCACGCGCGUUACAAUGGCAUGGUAUACACAGUGCCUAAAAGGGCGUAUCCGGGGCCUACAGGCCUCGGUAACCCUUAGUCCCUGCCUUGACUGGGACAGACUAUUGCAAUUAUUGGUCUCAAACGAGGAAUUUUUAGUAGUCGUAGGUCAUUAACCUGCGACGAAUGCGUCCCUGCCCUUUGUACACACCGCCCGUCGCUGCUACCGAUUGGGUUUUGCGGUUACGAGUUCAGAGGAUGUGGCUCCCUGCCUGCCUUCGGGUAGGCAGUAACUGUGACCAAAGUUCUAAUUGCCGCACGGCCUAGAGGAAGCAGAAGUCGAACAAG